CCAUCCCAUGGAGCUGUUUGAUGGGCGAAGGAUCGUAGGCUCAGUUUUUGGUGAUUUCAAGGGCAAGUCUCAAUUGCCCCGUCUUGCUCAAGACUGCAUGCGCGGGGUGGCCAGGUUGGAUGAGUUCAUUACUCAUCAACUACCUUUCGAAAAGAUCAAUGAAGCUUUCCAGCUGCUGGUUCGAGGAAAAUCCUUGCGAUGCCUUCUUCAUCUAUCAUCACCUCAACUCAACUAAGCUUACCCUUGGUCAUCUUCACAGGAUUACACAUAUUGCUGUACUAUGUUAAUUACAUCUUUUUCGGAGCUGGCAACAUACAGGAUUCAUAUUUAUGUUUCAUUUAAGCAAAAAAAAUCA